AUGCAAACUCAACCACUAACUGUAUGAUGUUGCGGAAGAGAGGGAAACCAGGUUAGCUAAGGUAAUGGUGGUGAUGGAAAUGCAUUGGCCUCAGAAGCUACUGAGGUGGUCCAUUUUACCCUUGUACAGUG